rnacentral:rRNA from 1 species
UGGAACUGAGACACGGUCCAAACUCCUACGGGAGGCAGCAGUGGGGAAUAUUGCACAAUGGGCGAAAGCCUGAUGCAGCAACGCCGCGUGAGUGAUGAAGGCCUUCGGGUCGUAAAACUCUGUCCUCAAGGAAGAUAAUGACGGUACUUGAGGAGGAAGCCCCGGCUAACUACGUGCCAGCAGCCGCGGUAAUACGUAGGGGGCUAGCGUUAUCCGGAUUUACUGGGCGUAAAGGGUGCGUAGGCGGUCUUUCAAGUCAGGAGUGAAAGGCUACGGCUCAACCGUAGUAAGCUCUUGAAACUGGGAGACUUGAGUGCAGGAGAGGAGAGUGGAAUUCCUAGUGUAGCGGUGAAAUGCGUAGAUAUUAGGAGGAACACCAGUUGCGAAGGCGGCUCUCUGGACUGU